CCUGGCGGCACUAGCGCGGUGGUACAACCUGACCCAAUGCCGAACUCAGAAGUGAAACGCCGUAGCGCCGAUGGUAGUGUGGGGUCUCCCCAUGUGAGAGUAGGGAACUGCCAGGC
rnacentral:rRNA from 1 species